rnacentral:rRNA from 1 species
CGAUAAGUAAUGUGAAUUGCAGAAUUCAGUGAAUCAUCGAAUCUUUGAACGCACAUUGCGCCCGCCAGUAUUCUGGCGGGCAUGCCUGUUCGAGCGUCAUUUCAACCCUCAAGCUCAGCUUGGUGUUGGGACUCGCGAGUCAAAUCGCGUUCCCCAAAUUGAUUGGCGGUCACGUCGAGCUUCCAUAGCGUAGUAGUAAAACCCUCGUUACUGGAGAUCGUCGCGGCCACGCCGUUAAACCCCAACUUCUGAAUGUUGACCUCGGAUCAGGUAGGAAUACCCGCUGAACUUAAGCAUAUCAAUAAGCGGAGGAAA